GGAACGGAUUUCUCCUCACAGCCCUCAGAAGAAACCAACCCUGUCACCAUUUUGAUCUUGGACUUUAGCCUCUGGAACUGUGAGACAAUACAUUUCUGUUUGUUUCAGCCACCUAGUUCAUAGUACUUUGAAGUGACCUUUACACCACUCUCACUUAGAGAUGAGGUCUGUGUCCCCUCCUCUUGAAAUUGAGUGGCUUUUGUGACUGUGUACACAGGUAGAGUAAACUGCAGAGCUGCCUGUCUGUGACUUCCAAGGCUAGGUCAUAAAAGGAGAUAAAGCUUCUUCCUGGCUGGUUGGGCUGCUUGCUCUUGAAGCCUUCAGUCUCUAUGCACGCAGCAUGCCUUCCCAGCCUCCUGUGGUUGUAGAGUGUAUAGAAGGCAGUUGGAUCACUAUGGACAGCGGGUAAGAGCUGAGGAAGCAGCCUCCGCCAGGUGGUAACAUGGAGGACCCUGAAGCAGGCCAAUUAAAUCAAGCAUAUUCCUCAGUAUCAUGGAGAGACUGGAGGUUAGAGACACCAAAACCAUCCCUGGCUUAAUGACUUUGGGAUCCCUGGGCCCCUCCAUGCAGCAGAACGGCAAUUAACCAAGCAAAGGAAGAGAGGGCAGCAGGGCUGAAUCCUGUCAUGGAAUGCUUCCAUCUGCAAGUGGCACAUUUCAGUGGCCAAAGCAAAUUAUGCCAUCCCUGACUUCAAGACCAUUGGCCAUUCUCUGACCAUCUCAAGCCAGAGGUGACUUGAUCUGUCACCCAGCUGUGGCCCAUGAGCAUUAUCUAAGGAGGAACAUUUUUGCUUACGUUUCCAGUGCUCUACAUAAGCCCUAGGCCCUGGGAGGCACUGAAAUGCUCAAUGGGAGCUCCAUGUGUGCAGGCUUAUGGACUGAAAUACUACUUUCAUGGCUCUGGCUAUGAACAUCAGCAUAUAGAGAAUGGAUCACUACCAAAGAAGGCACCCGAAUGUGUCUGUCUCAUCCUGGGGAAACUCAUUCAUCUGUAUAUGUACUCAGCAAGUGUUUCCUGGCACCUGCUCUGGGUCACAGUGCUGGGCACUGGAAGCUGAGAGAUGUGGAAGAAGGCUGGACAUUCAAGAUGAGAAGCCCGAGGCUGGUAAACUAGAGUCCAAGGGCAGAAAGCUGGGACAAUGGCUGGAGGAAGAAAUGAGAGGAUCUCUAUACCCAGGCCUUGGCUUCUAUGUCCCUUCUCGAAGUGGUUGAAGUGCAGAUUUCUGAUUCUGUACCCAGCCUCCAGGGACACAGUACACAGUAUGCUGGGAAUGGCGGUGGGUGUUUGAGGUACAUUACUUCCAGACAAAACAUGGCUGCAGAGGGAUACCAAAAGCAUCUUCUGGUGGCUGAAGCCCUGUCUGCACAAGUGUCUGUGUUCUUCAAUGGUUCAGGCAAGCUCAGACAGACCCUCUGCUUCUCUUAACCUGAGACACUAGUUUCCCCAAGAACUUUGAGCUGAAGGUUCCUUGCUGUGUCCCCUACCUGGCUGUGAGGACUUUGAGUAUAAUUAUCCUAUCUUAUUUGUUGCUGUGCUCCCAGUGUCUUGGAUGGAGCCUGACAUCUAGUCAGUGUUAGUAAAUGUUGAUGUGUAUUGAAUUUUGCAAGGAUCUGCAGCCCUGAGAAGAGGGGAUACUUCUUGGAAACCUCUGUGGGCUAAAUUGAGGGUUAAGGACUGGGACUGGAAGGCAGAGAUUCCAGAGUGAUAACCACAGUAGUUACUAUUUCAUGAGAGCCUCCAUGUGCCAGCCUCUAAGCUAGGCCCAUACCAUGCAUUACCUCUUGUCCCCACUUUACAGAAACUAAGGCUUAGACAAGUUAAGCAACUUGCUAAAGAUCAAACAACUCAAUAUGUGUUGGAGUCAAAUGAACGCAUUUCUUUUCCAUUUCCCUCAUUUACUCCACUAAUGACAGUACUUAAAUUGUAGACUAGGAAUUAAAAUAGCAGAAGCCUGACUUGAGAGGGCAGAGCCCCUGCGUUUGAGUGCCUGAAAGUCAGUCAUGGGUAGAAAGAACAGUCUUGUAGCAGAGCUCUGGGCAAGGGAGGAGCCGUGAGCAGGUGGACAUGAACUCACUGUGACAACUCUCCAACAGUGAAAGCAGGUUCCCAUGGAAUCCAGGGAAAUUACUGAAUAACUUUCAACACAAAAAUGUGUGCUAGUGAGCUGUAGAGCCUUUAUAUCCCCCCAAAACAUAUUAUGGGGGUGGGGGGGGGGCGCGGAAUUCUGAAUUUUUGUUGUUGUUGUUGUUGUUGAGACAGAGUUUUGCUGUUGUUGCCCAGGCUGGAGUGCAAUGGCACAAUCUUGGCUCUCCACAACCUCCGCCUCCUGGAUUCAAGCGAUUCUCCUGCCCCAGCCUCCAGAGUAGGGGCUGGGAUUGUAGACAUGCGCCACCACGCCUGGCUAAUUUUGUAUUUUUAGUAGAGAUAGGGUUUCUGCAUGUUGAUCAGGCUGGUCUCGAACUCCUGACCUCAGGUGAUCCACCCGCCUUGGCCUCCCAAAGUGCUGGGAUUACAGGUGUGUGCCACGGCGCCCGGCCUAAGUAAAUAGUUUGGAAAGCUGCAUCCAAUAGUCUCUUUUGAAGAUUCACAAUGCACCCUAGCUUGUUAACUAUUCCAAGAAGUCCCCGGAAAAGAAUGCUUGUUUGACUUUCUUGAAUCCAGUGUUGCCCAUGUUUAUUUGACUAGUGAGCAGGUUUUUUUGUUUGUUUGUUUGUUUUUUAAGUGACACUUUUUAACACUCUGAGGCAGUAAUAUUGUACUGAACACAUGGGGAAUCUUCUGUGGAAGUUUGGCCUGGAAUACAUCCUCUGUGUUCCUUCUCGCCCCGUGGCUGAGUGAGUGUGCUGUAAAAGCUUAGUGACAGAAAAGCCCCACUUAGCCUAUUUGUGAUGAUUUCCUAAACCGGGCAAAUAACUCAUCUGAAUGGCUGAGGUGAUAAACUCACAGGAGGAGAAGAUGCUGGAGGAAGUGUCAUGUGUCCUGCAUGUAGGUACCACUUCACCUCCCAGCAAGGCGAUGCUGAUAGCAACGUUUUCCUUGGGUGUUGAAUUUUCCAUCCUGCAAUUACGUCUUAAGCCAUAGAUAAAAUUCACAUCCACGUUUCACUCAAGAUAAACCUAACAUCAUAAUAAUACAGAAGAUUAAUUCAUUGGGGAAAAAUAGAAGAAAAUUGGUCUUGGCUUAAAGAGAAGUCAACAUUUAGAAUGUGUAGAAGGGGAUUUCUUCUGGAUCACACUCUGUCCUCAACAGUGGCAUGUGAAAAUGUAUGUGGUUCGCUUUAGUGCAUGCAUGUUUGUGCCUGUCCCACUGACACAUCCACAGUGUGACCCAUAGAGGUCCACUUCUAAGACCCCUAACUCUGAGUCCAACCCACCCUUUUGGGCUCACUGCAGUCAUUUCUCUCUGAAGUCUUCCUUGACAACCUAGGCAUCAUCAGUUUUUCUCUUCUCUGAUCAUCUUAGCAAGUGUAUCCAUAAGCUAUAAUCACAAUCAUGCUGCAUAACAAAACCAAAAACUCAAUGGCCAAUAACAAUGAACAUUUAUUUUUUGUUUUCAUGUCUAGAGGCCAGGUGGGGGGUGGCUGAUCUAAGCUGGGUUUUGCUCUAGGUUAGAUUUAGUCUAGGUUGGCCUCACAUGUCUCUCAUUCUUCAGGUGUCAGGAGGCCACCAUGGGCCUGAUCUUCAGGACAGAUGCCUCUUAAGACUUGGGCUUUGACUCAUACACUGUUACUGCCACCCAUGUCCUGUUGGCCAAAGUCAAUUUCAUUACCAAGCCCAAGAUCUGUGGAGUGGAGAAAUGCAUUUUGAAGGGGAGGGAGUCAAUCUGUAAUGAGCACCAUGAUGUACCAUAGAGCAUUUGUAGUCAUGAGCCUGAUUUAGACACUUGGUGGGGUAUCUCUGUGCUCUUAGGAAUUGUGUCUCUGUGUCUGUCAGAGGUGAUAACAUUGGAGCUGAGCCUUAAAAAAUAAAAGUUUCCUCAAACACCUCUGUGACUUCUGUGAUGCCUUCUGUUCACCACCCACAGUAGCACUGAAGGAAGAAAAGUAGUAACAUGUGAAGUGCAUAGGCAGCCCAGGGAGUCAUGCAUCCUAGUUCUGCAAGGAGGGUGCCCCUAGCCAGCCCUUGAUUGCCUCCCAGUUUUGGAGUUUGUAAGAGUCACAAAUAAUCACACUUCCCUCUCCUCAAAGUUCUGAACCAACUAAAAAUUAUACAUGGGAAUUUGAUGGGGAUGAAAAUAUGGACUUUAUAAGUAAAAAUGAAUUUGAGAACAGCUUGGACCUGAAGCUGAAGGGGUUUCCUUGAUACUUUUCAUCUGGAUCCUGUAGUCCACCUGAGGGUAGUUGUGGGUCUUCAUGGUGGACUUUUAACCAGAUGCAUGAAAAAUUGUGGCCAGGAGAGAGGCCACACCUGAGAGGGAUGUUUACACAUGAGAAACAUAGACCAGUGGGUGUCAGCCUCUUGCCACCUCAACAAUUAUGCCAAUUUCUCCUACACACAAAUGAAGGAGAGAAGAGCUAAGUGUGAAAGGAAAGAUGGAACUCUGUCCUCCCCAUCUAAUCCGGGAUGGAAGCUGUCUGUUGCAGGGACCAGCAUGAGGUGGGGAGGAAGGAUGACCCCGGUGAUCUAGAAAAUGGGACUGAUGCUAUUUAGACGGCUGCCAUCACUGAGUCAGCGGGUGUGGGCUUCUUUAUGCACUUGCUAGAAAUGGGCCAUCAGGCCACUCCUAGUGUGCCCUGGAGCAACUUGUUCUUGUCUGCAAGUCCAGAUGCAGAACACCUAACUCCACUCCACUUCAUCCCCAAAUCCCAACCCGUCUUCACUCAUUUCCGACUGAACCAAGCCACCUGAGUGUCGUGAGUUCACCUGUGUGUUCUUGCCAUCUCCUGGGAUGGAGUCCCCACAGGUCAGAACACUUGAACUCAUUGUGUAGAACCAGAUUCUCUCCCACACUUUUCUCUCUCCUCUCAGAGGCCAAUUUGUUCUGCAGUCAAUUCUGCAGAAGUUAGAAAUAAAGCAUGGUGACCAAUCAGAGAUGAGAGAGGGUGUGGUUGGGCUGAGAGUCACUUUUCAGAGCUUAUGAAAAGCUGCAAACCCGGUGGAUGGCUUACACUCUUUCCUCAAGGGCAACACACUGAGUGAGAGGGUGCUGGAGGGGGAUGCUGGGGAAAGCGAGCUUGUAUUCAAGGAGGCCUGUGGUGUCAUUAUUUACAGUGUCACACCUGAUCCUCCCAACGACCCCAUCUCUAGGCUCUGGAAGUUAGUGGUUAAGAGCACAUCUCUCAGGCUUGUUCACAUACAGUUGUGUGACCUUGGGCAAGUCUCUGUGCCUCAGUUUACUCAUCUGUAGAAUGUUGGUAGAGGAGGAUAUUAAGAGUAACUACCACAUAGUGGUGCUGGGAGGAUAAAAUGAUUUAAUAGAUGUGAUGGGCAGCUGUGGGGAUGGCUCCCAGUGAUCCCUGUCUCCAGGUAUCCAUGCCCUUGCUUGUAAGGAAGAGAAUAUGGCAAAGUUGAUAGGCUGUCUCUUCCAAGAUCAGGUUACAAGAGACUGUGAACUCCCUCUUGCUUACUUUCUCUUACUCUCUUUCUUACUCCAGUGGAAACCAACAGCGUGUUACGAGCUGCCCAGUGGAGAAACCCACACUACAAGAAACUGUGGAUGGCCUCCUCUGGUCAAUAGCCAGCUAGGAAUAAGGCCUUCAUCCAAUAGCCCAUGAGGAACUGAAUCCUGCCAAAAACCACACACGUGAGCUUAGAAGCAGAUCUUUCCCCAGUAGAGCCUUGAAAUGACUGCUGCCCCCACCUGACACCUUAACUGUGGUCUGUGUGAGACUCUGAAACAGGGGGCCCAGCUAAGCCAAGCCCAUAUUCCUGACCCACAGACGCUUUGAGAUAAUAUUGAAUAAAUUCUUGUGGUGUUAAGCCACUGAGUUUUAGGGUAAUUUGUUAGACAGCGAUAGAUAACGAAGACAAUACAUUAACAAUUCUUAAGAUACCCAGUGGAUAGUAAACCUUCAAUAGAUAUUGACUGUCUUUAUUAUUAAUAUCUCAGUUUCACAGAUGAGACAAAUGAGGCUCAGAGUGACUUCCCAGAGUUCGACAGUUAAUAUGCAGUAGAGUAGGGGCUCUGCCUUUGUUCUAUCUGACUUCAAAGUCAGUGCUCUCAAAGCAUCACUAUUUGGAAGACUCAGCUCCUUGAGGUGCCUAAGCAGGAUUUGUAGAAAAACAGAGGGCAGAUUUCCAUGGGCUGCCUUAGAUAGGUGAAUGACCCCUUAAGGCUGUAGAGGGCCAGGCCUAGGGCUGGGGAGAGCCAUGGCCAGCUCUUCAGGGAGUCUACAUGGGUAGGAGGACUAGCUCCUGCACCCAAACUUCACUAGGGGCUAGGUCUUCCAGCACAUGGGAGAACCAACGCAUGGCUGAGUCUGCUCCUAGAGUUUGUAAGAUGCUGUGUACUGAGAAAUGGAGCUCUGGUCUCUCCUCGCCCUCUGCUAUAGUUUCAAUGUGUUCCCCAAAAAGCAUGUGUUGGAAACUUAAUCCCCAAUGCAACAGUGUUGGGAAGUAGGGCCUAAUGGGAGGUGUUUAGGGCAUGAGGUCUCUGUCCUCAUGAAUGGAUUAAUGCCGAUUAUAAAAGGUCUUGAGCAUGUGAGUUCAUUCUCUUGCUCUCUCACAAUGCUGUCUUGCCCUUCCACCGUGAGCCAUGGGAUGAUGUAGGAAUCAUCCCAUGAUUGGUGGCACCUUCAUAUUAGACUAUGUUGGACUUCGCAGCCUCCAGAACUGUGAUAAACAAAUACCUUAUAAGUUACGACACCUCUGAUAUUGUGUUAUAGCAACACAAAACAGACUGAGACUCUUUCUCUCAUUCCCUCUGGGAGCUCAUGAACUAGGAGCCUGAGAUAAGCCCCAUUCAGAGGAGUCUCAUCUGAGCAAAGGCCGUUUUCGUUGCUAUCCUAUCAUGCUAUAGACAGCAAUGAUGAAUCAACUUAGCUGAUCGGAGGGCAGUCAGCACCAUCAGAAACAACAUGUCCUCUUAGCACAGUAACUGCUGGGAACAUCUACAAGAUUCCUCAGGGUGUAUGGGCAACAGACACAGGGAGCGUGCAGAGAGGCAGGUGGCACAGCCCCUGAUAUCUGCGGUGGUGAGACGCACAAUGGGAGCAGAUUCAAGCUUCACCACACAGACACUCAAAGAAUCAACGGAUACACGGAGACACCCAGGCACCUGCAUUAAUACCCAUAUACUCCCAGACACAUGGCCACACUCAUAGACACACCUACAGAAUGACACACUCAGACAUUCAGUGUGAAAGACACAAAUGCUCAGAUAAAUGCCCAGGUGGUAGGGAGGAACAUUAAAAUCCCACAACUCAUGUUUCCAGGGAGGGGAAGUCUUUUCCAUUGCACCAUGCAGGAGGGAAAAGUAUUGAAGGAACACUUCUUGCCCUUGUCCAUCCCCUCACCCAUUUCUCCCCAGAGGAGAGUUGGUGAGUUUGGGGGAGGAACAGAGCAUGCUCAGUCUAGUCUCCCCUAGGGCUUCUCUGUCUUUUACCCUGCCUGCCUGCAGAGGGGAAACAACAUUCUCAUCAGUCCUCUGGUACUGGGUGGCCUCUCAGGGUCGGCUUGGCCCCUCUGGGGAGUUGCCUGGUGUGACCAGUGCCGAUGGACACGUCUAUCUAAUUCAUUGGGGAAGAAUUUGCAGACCCUUUGGCUACAUAUCCAAAGCCACAUUCUUUACUUGACUGUACCCAGUAAUAGAGCUGACAUUCUGAUCUUCACCUCUAUCUCUGAGGCCUUAUUUCUCAGUUGGUGUCAAACUUGCGAUUCCCCGGUUCCAACACCAAAUAUUCCCACUUAGAGGAAAAACAGAAACAUGGACAAAUGUUCAAAGACACAGCAGAGAAACAUAGAUGAGAUGGUACAUUUGCUCUCCUGAGUGGAGGGAGGAUGGUUAGAAGAGCAGUUCAUGAGUCUGGCUGGGUGUUAGAAUCACCUGGGAAGAAUUACAAAUAGGUACUCAUGUCUGGGUCCUACUCCAGACAAACUGAUUCAGAAUCUACUGGGUCAGGGCCUGGGCAGUGGUCAAUUUUAAAGCUCCCCAGGUGAUUCUAACAGGCAGCUUCCCCACUCCCCAGCACUCCAUGAGGAGCAAAAGAGUGUUGGUGACUGGGGGCCUAACCCAUCGGUCACAGACCUCCCUCAGACGUCACUUGCUUCCAGCUAUAGCUCCAAAUUUCUCUCCUAUGGACAUUCUGGGGAUUCUGGUAGCAGCUGAGGGCUGUGCACUAAGCAGGCAAUUGCCUUUGGCUGCUGCUCUUCUGACUCUUCUAACUCUUCUGGUGGACCAUGGGGGCUGUCUCACCACUCUUCAAGCAGAAGUCCCUCACUCCUGCCUUGGAUCCCCAACACGUACGGAUGCUUAGGUCGACAUGGUAUUUUUCCUCUUGCUUUCAGUCUAGCUUCCUGUUGCAUCUCUGCUUGGUUGGCCCCUGGCAGAGCAGGUGCACAGGACACCGAGUGGAGAACUGGCCCCAGUGACAGUGGCUCGGCACAUGCUCUUCAUCCCAUAGCCAAAGGCACUUUCUUUGUGAUGCAUGGAGGCCAAACUCUUCUGCCAGCAACAGAGAAGCAAGGCCAGGCUGAUGGCUGCAAAAUGAGAGCGUGGUGUAAAGAUGGGAGCAGAGGUGGCGUGUACCCAUCCAGUGGCCUUGAUGCUUCUGUGAAUAUGGAG
rnacentral:lncRNA from 10 species